GCACUCCUCUCCAAGCCCCAGGAAGGUGUCUGGGCAUGGGCCGGAGAGCCUAGCUUCGUGUGAUAUCAGAUAAGAGCACACUGGGUUUCUAAUGUUGUAAGUUCGCUGCGAAUCGUACAACAAGUCUUGCUUUCCUGCAACGCCUCUUCCUGAUUGGCUGUGACGGGCGCAAGGAAACACAACCUGCUUACGUAAAUAAGCUGGGGGAGAAAAGCACAAUGAGCCAAAGACAGGAGACAAAAAGUUUUGGGCGGCAGGUGAACCCUGAACAAAACAGCACGAGAGGCGUCUUAUAAAAUCGGGCAUUGUGUUAUCAGUACUUCAUGUUAGAAAACCAGGAUUACUGUAAAAUAGGAUGCAGAGGAGUGCUAUGCGGUUUCCAGAACAAUCUUUUGCAAACUAGGAGCCUGCGUGAACCACAAGGAUGAAGAGAUGUCGAACAGCAUUGUGACACCUGCAUUGUCACUUCAGACGUAUGGAAAUGUGAUACAAAGGGGUUAGUUUAAAUAUGGCUGUAACACUACAUUUAUGCAGGUUAAUAAUGAUGUUUAGGUGUUCAUAGGAAAGUGACAACCUCAGAAUAUAUAAAUGAACAGAUGAUUAAAGAACAAUACGAUUUAACAAUGUUUCAUGUUAGCCGUUAAUAUGUUUCAGGAAAAUAAACAGCUCAGUGAUUGUUGAUGUGGCGUUUCACGUAGUCAUUUCCCAAACUCUUUGUCAAUGAGCAUUGACAGCACUUGGAGUACCUGAGGCGAUCUUCUUCAUUCCGCUCUUAAAAACAUCUAUCGUUUGAGAUGAAAUGACCAAAAGGUGUCAGAAAAGGGUCAUCUUUAUCUGUGUUGGUAUACUCCUCUCCUCAUUGAUUCGUAGGUUAUGAAUAUCAUAUUUGAGAAAAAAAACUAAAACAAAAAAAGAACACAGGUUUCUAGUCAGGGUUCCGGAAGGCCCUCAACUCCGACCCUCCAGC